CUGCACCGGGACUUUUUUCAUCUAUCUGGUCGGACGGAACCAAGCCGCUCCUGUUCUGCAGAGCCCUUGACAGUUCUGCAGAAACUAACCAAGUCGGAAUAGAACAGAGUUGGACCAGAACCAGAGCUGUUCCUGUUCUGCAGAGCGAAACACGAGGAGAACAACAGCAGCAUGUUGAGAAUGAUGACAGCAAUGUGGCGAUGGUGAGGAAGAUGUGAGGAUGAAGAAGACGACAAAGUGUGCAGACGCUAAUGCUGAUGGUAAUGAGGGUAGAAACAAGGUCAAAGUGAGACACUGGGGGGUGUACGCAACAGAAGACAGCAGAAUGCAGCAGAGCAGCGCAACCACAGAGAGGAAGGCUUCCUCUGAGAUCUCUGAUCACACACGCAUACA